GGGGCCAUAGCUCAGCUGGGAGAGCGCAUCGCUGGCAGCGAGGAGGUCAGGGGUUCGAUCCCCCUUGGCUCCACCA
rnacentral:tRNA from 1 species